rnacentral:lncRNA from 1 species
CCACCUCUGUCGACCUCCUCGCCAUGGAUUUGGACAUGGACGUGCUUUUCGAAGAUGCAACUGCAGAACUGCACAGGUUAGAAGUUCUGUCGUCCCAUGUUUGAAUCGCAUCUCACCUCUUCUAGAUCUCUCACACUUCUUGUUCCGUGGAUCCACUGAUAUGCAGGAUGCCGGUCUUGGAGGCACGUCCUAUAGCCAUGGCUAGGCCGGUGGAGUCGCCGGCUUCUCUUAGCAUCGCCAAUGCGGAGAUAGGCCACGUCGGAGUUCGCGCACACAUCGGUUAAAGAGCCGGAUUUCCGCCGGAACAAGGAGCUUUUCCAGAUUUGUUCAGAGGCUAGCAGCGGCUGGACUAGGAGGUGUGUCUCUAAUUUCUUUAUUCAGUCUGUCAUUUGUUCAUACACGUUCUCGGAGCAGUAAGCUGCAUUUGGGUAGAAAUCAUAUUGGUAGUUAUGUCUAUUUGUUGAUUCUGCCUCGUUGCUUGUUCUGCCAUUGUUCAUACACAUAGUCUCGAUGUUAAUUUUCAAGCUUAAGCCUAUCAGUCAAAAUAAUGAUGUUACAUACGGUGAUUGAAUCAUUAAUUUGGUUCUUGCGUAGCUAACAUUUCCAAGUUGUUCAUAGGUAAGUCUGGUUCAAAAUUGAUUAUGAAAUUAGGCACACAUACUUUUGUGCAGUAAAAUUCUUAUCUUAAUUACUCUGAAAAAACUGGACUGAUGGUAUCUUGUUCUGCUUGCCUGUAUGAAGGGUCAAAGUGUUGGUAGAUCCCUGUUGAAGAAUUAAUCAUUACUUUGGCUCUGGCAUAACUAAAAAUUUCCAAGUUGUUCAUAGGCAAUUCAGGUUCAAAAUUGAUUCUGAAAUUAGUCACACACACUUUUGUGCAGUACAAUUUUUAUCUGAAUUACUCUGAAAAAAGUGGAGUGAUGGUAUCUUGUUCUGCUUGCCUGUAUGAAGGGUCAAGGUGUUUAGUUAUGUUGGUAGAUCCCUGUUGAAG